UACGAAGGGGGGCUAGCGUUGCUCGGAAUGACUGGGCGUAAAGGGCGCGUAGGCGGUUUGUACAGUCAGAUGUGAAAUUCCCGGGCUCAACCCGGGGGGCUGCAUUUGAUACGUGCGGACUUGAGUGGGGAAGAGGGUCGUGGAAUUCCCCAGUGUAGAGGUGAAAAUUCGUAGAUAUUGGGAAGAACACCGGUGGCGAAGGCGGCGACCUGGUCCUUUGACUGACGCUGAGGCGCGAAAGCGUGGGAGCAACAGG
rnacentral:rRNA from 1 species